GAUAUGACGAUGGACAUUGCAAAGAGUGGCGAACGGGUGAGUAACACGUGGGAAACCUACCUCUUAGCAGGGGAUAACAUUUGGAAACAGAUGCUAAUACCGUAUAACAAUAGCAACCGCAUGGUUGCUACUUAAAAGAUGGUUCUGCUAUCACUAAGAGAUGGUCCCGCGGUGCAUUAGUUAGUUGGUGAGGUAAUGGCUCACCAAGACGAUGAUGCAUAGCCGAGUUGAGAGACUGAUCGGCCACAAUGGGACUGAGACACGGCCCAUACUCCUACGGGAGGCAGCAGUAGGGAAUCUUCCACAAUGGGCGAAAGCCUGAUGGAGCAACGCCGCGUGUGUGAUGAAGGGUUUCGGCUCGUAAAACACUGUUGUAAGAGAAGAAUGACAUUGAGAGUAACUGUUCAAUGUGUGACGGUAUCUUACCAGAAAGGAACGGCUAAAUACGUGCCAGCAGCCGCGGUAAUACGUAUGUUCCAAGCGUUAUCCGGAUUUAUUGGGCGUAAAGCGAGCGCAGACGGUUAUUUAAGUCUGAAGUGAAAGCCCUCAGCUCAACUGAGGAAUUGCUUUGGAAACUGGAUGACUUGAGUGCAGUAGAGGAAAGUGGAACUCCAUGUGUAGCGGUGAAAUGCGUAGAUAUAUGGAAGAA
rnacentral:rRNA from 1 species